rnacentral:rRNA from 1 species
UCGGGAAUUUUGGGCAAUGGGGGAAACCCUGACCCAGCAACGCCGCGUGAAGGAUGAAGUAUUUCGGUAUGUAAACUUCGAAAGAAUAGGAAGAAUAAAUGACGGUACUAUUUAUAAGGUCCGGCUAACUACGUGCCAGCAGCCGCGGUAAUACGUAGGGACCAAGCGUUGUUCGGAUUUACUGGGCGUAAAGGGCGCGUAGGCGGCAUGACAAGUCACUUGUGAAAUCUCUGGGCUUAACCCAGAACGGCCAAGUGAUACUGUCGCGCUAGAGUGCAGAAGGGGCAAUCGGAAUUCUUGGUGUAGCGGUGAAAUGCGUAGAUAUCAAGAGGAACACCUGAGGUGAAGACGGGUUGCUGGGCUGACACUGACGCUGAGACGCGAAAGCGUGGGGAGCAAACAGGAUUAGAUACCCCUGUAGUCCCUGAGCGGGCUGGCAAGGCGCAU